GUUAUUAUAGCUUAUAAAAAGCAUAGUGCUGAAAACACUAAGACGGGACCACCUGAUAACA
rnacentral:tRNA from 1 species